rnacentral:lncRNA from 1 species
AACAAAGUAUCAAAUUCAUAACAUCACCGAUCAAAAAACAAGAGUUGCCCCGUAUAUACAUUGUUACAAAUACAAAAUGUUAGGCUCAUAGCAAGGCCUAAUGAUUUUUGGCUGAGUCGCGAGAUCUAGUAACACCUGAGAGAUAGUAAAGAAAUUGUAUGAGUUCAAUAUGAUAAAUUACAUGUCGGGAUUUCCUUUUUUAAAAGAAAAUAACUAAUGUCUAUGUUUAUUUGUAAUUAAUCAACAAGUAAUCAAUACACAUUAAACAUAUCUCUCAACAGUUUAAUAUAACUGGUAAUACCGAAUCUCACAUUACAAACUCCGUAAAGUCUUUACUUUAUAUUUAAAGGAAUAAUCACUGCAACACAAAUUUUAACAUUUAUUUUCAAUCUCCAUUCAAUCCAUCCAAACCUCUGCAAAACCAAAUUAACAACAUAUUCAAUCUCCAUACAACCCGUUCGAAGCUCUGCAAAACCAAAUUUACAUACAUAUACAAUCUCCGUACUCCUUGUCCGAUCCUCCACAAAGUCAUGUUUACAAUUUGACCGAAUAGGGUCACUUUACAAGUCCAUAUAUUUAUAUUUAUUUUACACUUCGCAAAUACAAAUUGACAGUGCAUUUGAUAUAAUUUGACAUCGAACAACACGUUCGGACAGCCAAACUUAAUAAACAAAAUCAGCACAAAUGACAGUGCAUUGGAUAGUAAAUCUAACACUUUCGGACAGCUUAAUUUUAAGCUUACUCUCAAUUAAUUUAGUAUGUGAAUAGCAUAACAUAUGUUACAAUUACAGCAUGAAUUAUUCAACUUUAAAACAGGGGAUUCAAAUGUUGAAAUUUCCAGCAUUUGAAUCGCAAAUAUCCCCUUUUGACAGCGGCCAAGUUUAACAUCUAACAACUAAUAUUUUAUUUUCCUUUAACACCAAAGCAGCAGACCGGUUAAUCAAGAAUUUACUGCACAUUAUACAGCAGUCACAUGCUGAAACAAAAUACAUUCAUGAAGCAACAUUCAGCAGUCAACUUGUGCAUGUACUUAUCACAUUUUCAUCACUUCUAACAGCAGCAUUUCGGUAAAAAAAUCAGCAUGUAUUUUAACUACUAAAUUCAUUUUAACAGUCCAUUUGCCGAACCACACCUGCAUGAAAUGUUUAUAUUUUUAACAUAAUAAUUUUACACGUUACCUUUGAAAAACUUAUUAAAAUUUCUCCAAGUUGAGCUAUCUAGCCGACUUGCUCUUUCCCCUUCUCGCCAAUGCUUCCUCCCACCUCUUUAGCUACAAACCAAACCAUAUUUACAAGGUAAGAACAAUACAAACAGUGCAUGGCUUUGCAUGCAAGGGAUAACUUCACAUAACUGAUGCAUGCAUUAAAAGAAUUCAAGAAGAAGUAGCAUUUUCCUUAGCCACCACCAGCCAUUAGGCCAAAAUUAGCUCAAUCUCAACGCCUCAAAUCCAUGAAUUUUCUAUGGCCAAGAAGUUUUGAGAGCUUACCGUGAGUUAACAAGCAUAUUUACAAAUAUUUUAAACAUGCAGCAAUGGCUUCCCACGCCAAGACUUAGCCUCUCCUCUUCUCACAUUCGGAUACCAAAAAAAGAACAACUCUCCCUCUCUUUUUUUUCUUUGCCUUCCUACCGUGCAGCCCUUAAGUGAAAACAAAACAAGUUGUUUAUGUGUAGAAAAAUAAGGUUGUCAUAUCAAGGUUUCAUGUUUUCUUCAAAGGCAAUGAAAUCUGUAAAUUGGCAUUAUUGCAUUUCUAGAGCCAAAACAAGGAAUCAAAGCCAUUAAAAUAUGAACCUAGUUUCUCAAUAACAUUGCAGACAGAGAAACAUGUAUGCAGAGAGUCAACUUCAUCAACUGAUAACCAUAUACAGAAGGUCAAGUAAACAUAUCAUGAACUGAAAAUACAAGGAACUCAACUUUUACAUUCAACUCAUGCUGUUAAAUUACUCCAAAGUUACAAUCAUCCACCAAGUAAAAACUAAAGAAGUUCCUACUUAAUCACCAUAUAUUACCAAGAAUCAAAAAAUAAGAAUGUGGUCAGCAAAAAACUCUAAACACCACCCAGUAUAUAUACCAAAACCACUUAAAUUUUUCAUUUUUUUUCUCAUAAACCCAAACCACAAAAAGAUUGAAACUUGAAAAUUUUCACUAACAAACCUUAUGGAACAACUGAACUUCCCAAAACUUAGAAGUUCUUCAAUAGAAAAAAAAAAACCAAAAUGAACACUCAAAAGCUCACCACUCUUUGAAAGCAAACAAAGAAUCGAAAUCAACCCACAAACAGGAACACUUCUAAAACAAAAUCUAUUCAAGAACAGAAACAAACCAAAUUAAACUUGAAAAGAAAAAUCUGCUAACCUGAAAGUCUAUUGUUGUGAUAAAAGAAAACCCAUUAGCAGACAUCCCUUCUAAAACAAAAUCUGAUCAUUGCAAGAAUAGAAAUCAAACUUGAAAAAAAAAAUCUGCUAAAAUGAAAGUAUAUUUUUGUGAUAAAAAAAAAAGGCAACUUUGAAUACGUUUGCAGAGGAAGUGUAAAGGAGAUUUUUAGAAAAAAAAAUUUAGUUUCCAUUCAACGAUGAUGAGAUUGGCUAUUCAAAGUCGUAACCAGUUACGCAUCUCGAGAGAAUAGAAUCAAAUAAACGAGUUAAUGUAGAACGGGAAAUAGUGUUGGCAUGGAAUCACAUCAAACCAAAC